UCUCUUCACAGGAAUAAUUUUCUCCCUUUGAAGGGACGUGCUCUUGGCUGUAUGAGAGGGUGGCCUGAACAAUGACCAUGAAUGAAUGAAUGAAUGAAUGGCAGGCAAAGCUGCCUGCUUCAAGGCAACCUGAGAUCAGGGGUCUCAUUUUCAAUUAGGCCAGUGAAACAACACUGAUCAGUGGAGCAAACAGCAGCUUUUCCAGAGCUGGCACAGCACAGGUGCUCACCUAGAUGCAGGAACCAAGGACUCAUUGGGAGGCGCCUCAGUUUGAUGGGUCCUCUGGAGAAAUGACCAAGGGGACCAUCAUGAGCUGCACUGUUCAUUAAGUGGUUCACCACAAUAAGAUACAGCAACUCCUUUCCUUGAGUACAAUGGGGAAAUAAAUGUGACCCAGUAAAAUAGAGCAUUGUUUUUAAAUAUUAAAAAAGGAAUGACCUUAGAGAACAGAUACAUAAAAUCAUCAUACUCACAUAAAAACUGUUGUGUAGUUUGCUCUAAGAAGCUGGCACAUUUUUAGAAACACUAAAACCUCAGCACAUUACAUCCCAGAUAGUUUGCUUUUCUUUCCCUUGUCUUUUAUUCUGCUCUGCACCUCUGAAGAGCAUUCCUUUACAACCCAUUUUGUUUUCUGUUUGUAAAGCUUUAUGCAUUUUAGGUUUUCAUCAUUUUCUAAGAUCAUUAUCUUAUUUUUUCAUCUUUCUUUUCAAGAAACUUCCUUCCCUCACCCCCCCAAUCUGCCACCAUCUUUGGUAGAGUUCUUCUCCCUCUAGGAUUUCUUUUAUCCUUCUCAUCUUUAUGCCUUUCACUUACUCUUCCCCAGGCCCUUCACUCCUGCUUUUGCUUGUCAAAACUGUGUUUCUUCCUCCUUCAUGAGGGAAGAAGUGGGAAGAUUGGGUGGAUUUUUUUGCUAUGAGCACACAAGAAUGCUCCAAUCAAUACUUUGCAAUCCUGCAGAGGAGAGCUUGCAUGACUCUUCCAACACUUUCAAAAUUUGCAACUGCAGUUAAUGAAAGUCUGACUAAUGCUUGAAAACCAUAAACUUAUUUUAAAGCAGGGCUGUAGCUUCCCACCAAUAACAUCAUCAGGCCUUCCCCAACAAGCUUUUUUUACAUUAGAGACACUACCCCAUGCCUUGAAACACUUGUAGCCCUGCAGCAACUUCUUUGUGCCUAAAUUCCAUGUCAUAGAGUAGGUGACGGACACAGUCUCAGACACCACAUGAACCUUCAGCUCUGGCUGGAUUUCUGCUCAAACCAAAGGAAAGCUGCAUUGCCACUCCACUCACAGAAAGCUGUGUCUGUGUGUACCCAGGGAGACUUUGGAAGACUGGUGAAUCCACUUCAGCUGCAAGUGAGUGCAUGCAAAAUGUCUCCAAGUCUCAAAGCAGGUGUCUGGCAUCUGUCAGGAGAGCCAUGAUGCAGCCCUGAGGCAGUGCCCUCUUCCAGGGCUGGGGUAGCAUUCACUUCCAGGGAAGGAUCCAGAGUCUCUUCACCCCUUCCUGGUAGAUGUGCCCUUGCUAUUUAUUUUGUUCCAAAACCAACUUGCAAUAGCAGUUUGGGGAUCUUUUGACAUUUCAUUGACAUUUUUUCAGGGCUUUUUGUAGCAUGAUUAUUAUUGUCAGUAGGCCUCUCACGUGUUAAUCCCUACACCACAUUUAAUUGUGUACAUUCCAGAUGGGGCACAGUUUUUGCUUUCAAUUCUUAACAUGCAUCCAACCUAGCACCUUCACUGGCCUGUUUCAGUUGGACCUGUUCCCCAGGCAGAUCACUUAAGGGGUCUGGAAAAUCCUAUGCAGAUAGAAUUGACUGUUGCAACAGACAGAAUUGACUGUUCCUGACAAGCCUACCAUUUUUACUGUUCUCCAUCUGCCUACCAAGACUGCCUCAUUCUUCUGAAGUACUGAAGACCACUCAAAGUGUGUCUAAAGCUUGAUGCCAACUUCUUAGCUCUGCUUGCCAAUUUGAAAAAAAUCUGUUGCAAAAUAUAUGUCAAUACAUUUAUUCCCAGACUAAGGCAACCGUGUUACCUACAUGCUGGGGCAAUCCUAAAUGCACUCGAGAGACUGGUGCUGAUCACAGAAACUUCAGAUUGGCUUUUGCAGCAGGCAUCACUUGUAGCAUGAGAUAUUUAAAGCCUUUUCUUUUCCCCCUGAACAAGCAGGCCUGUCUCAGCAGUCUGGGCACGCUUCCCAGCUUGCUGGCCGGAUGGGACGGCAGCCGACACUCAGCCAUGGGUGGCUCGGGUAUGGAAUUCAUUAAAUUGGAAAUCAAGGGCAGGAAGGUCUCGACACAAGUGAUCCAGGCUUGAUUCUCCUCUCAUUUGCUCUCACACAGAAAAGGAGGAACUGCUGAGGUCAAUGUCAGUGCAAGAAAGGGAUGAGUCAUUCCUUAGCUGCAGGUCUGCAUGGAAGAGGAAGAAGUGAUUUCCCAGCCAAGGCAGCACAAACAGAAGCAGUGAAGAAGCAGAGCUGUGAGCUUCAGCUGCACAGGACUGCUGAGCCAGAAUACUCUAACUCAACAAGCUACCAACUUCAACUGCCUCUCAGGAAGGCUGAAAACCCCUUAAAAAAUCUUGACAACAAGCACCACAGCCUCACACCUACUGGAAAUCAACAAGGCAGAGGAAAAGGAGCCACUACAUUUGCAAGAAAUUUUAUCCAGGAAUACAAAGGCAGUGCAAAGAAACAUGCCAAGCCAGCCAGUCAGUAUGUUUCAGAAUCAGAAGGGUGACACAGCAGACAAGUCACACCAAGCAGCCAGGACCACCACAGGGAUCUGCAAGUGAAAUGGCACAUAGCUGACAACUCUUCCCCACACAUGCUCUCACUCCUUCCUGGGAAUGACUGAUUGGUAACUUGAUGGGAUCUGCAGAAAUCCCACCAGAACGUAAAAAACUUGUUUCAAAACCAAUUCCAGCUUUAAGGAAGGGACAUAAUAGUGUGGCUUGGAUACUAUAAUAAAACUGGAGAACUCAGAUUUACCAGUCUCUAUUCAGAAAGAGUCAAGAACUUUGCAAGACACAGAUCAAAUGAGCUCUGACCCCACUGGACAUGUGUGAUCCUUGAGUAUUAGAUACAUCACAAACACACAGUGAUGCCACUGGACAGCUUUUUAAAAUUAGUCAUACAUGCCCAGAAUAUAGGAAGUCAACAACCAAAAUUCAGAAAAAAGGGACAGAUAAGGCCACACUGGGUCAGAGGAUUUGGCACUGGAAGGAUUCCUCUGAGACUGGAUUUUCAAAGUAUGCAAAGUAUGCAAAGUAUGUUGGAGUGCAAAUACAUCUCCCAUUUAAGUGACCUGUGAGUGCCUAAGAGUUUGGAGAGAUGUUCUCCUCUGCACUGCAUCUGCCUACUGAACUUUAAAAUAACACCUCCCUCUGCCUGCUGAGCCAGCCCCCUCCCCAAAACACUCCAGUAACUUCACUAAGCAUGUCCCCCCUCCUCUGGGUGCCCAGAACAUUCUCCUGGAACUGACUUGGGGAAUUUCUGUCUGAUGCUCUUCCUCAUUAAAGUUCUCACUCCCUUUAAUUUGGCAAGUCUAAGGCAUUAUGUAAAGGGACUCCAAACGUGGAAAAACUAAAAAAAUUAUUAAAUUAUCCGGAUCAUGCCUUUGCUGCUUGAGAAUAAGGAUUUUUUCUUCCAUGAGAAUUACUUUACUUCUUUGCUUGGCUGAUACCUGCAUGAAGGAGCUAUCAGGAACAUUUGUUGAGAAAAUUAGCAACUGUGUCUCAAAAAUGCACUGAAAUUAUUGACUCUUGCAAAGAUGAUUUUCUAAAAGCUGGUUAUUUAGGCCAUGUGCAGCCUGCACGAACAAUCUUCUCUGGCAGGAAAUGCAAGAAUUUUUCUAUAUCAGGUUCUCAUCUGCUUCUCAGAAAUUCCCCAAUCAGUACUUAAGAACAAGGUAAUUUUUUAAUCAAAAGCCUAUUCGGUGAGCUGUCUGCCCCCAGGUCCAUCUCAUUCAUCUCUCUGGACAUGGAUUUCAGUUUUCUUCUCCAAAGAGGUUAACAGAUUGCUGUAAUUGGAUAGCCCCAAGAAAAAUGCUUUGAGCAGCAGAGCAGCCAGAAACCAAACCCAGCCCAUGCUCCGAGCAAUGAAAGACUUUUCACUUAUUAAAUAUUGCUAACAAUGUGUUUCAAGUACUCCAGGAAACAGCAUGAUCUAAAAAUUAAUUUACUUGUAUACUGCUAUGAAAGGGUUGUCCUUGGCAUGCAGGUUAAAGCUGUCUAUAUCCCACUAGCAAUAAGCAAUAGAAAAAUAUUACUCUGACUAGUGGUUGCAUCUUUUAAACAUAUAUAAACUGUUAAAAUUCUGUAAUUAACCUGCCUCUUAUUACCUUACUGGCAACUACUACUGCCACAGAAGCACAGUUCCUCAUGUCAGCUGCUCUAUUUGCAAACAUAUCUUCUCAAUUAUUUUCUAAAAUUAUUUUCUGAAAAUGCACAAAUAAGAAAAGAUGUCUUGUCUGACCUCUAACCUUGUGAAAUCUGUCCUGUAUUUGUCAUCAUUAAAAAAGCACACCUGGUUCUGCAUUCUUCCUGUGUUUUCA